CACGUAGGGGGCAAGCGUUGUCCGGAUUUAUUGGGCGUAAAGAGCUCGUAGGUGGUUCGGUAAGUCGGGUGUUAAACCCCCAGGCUCAACCUGGGGACGCCACUCGAUACUGCUGUGACUAGAGUCCGGUAGGGGAGCGUGGAAUUCCUGGUGUAGCGGUGAAAUGCGUAGAGAUGUGGAGGAACACCAGUGGCGAAGGCGACUCUUUGGCCUGUAACUGACGCUGAGGCGCGAAAGCGUGGGGAGCAAACAGG
rnacentral:rRNA from 1 species